GAUGAACGCUGGCGGCGUGCCUAAUACAUGCAAGUCGAGCGAACAGACGAGGAGCUUGCUCCUCUGACGUUAGCGGCGGACGGGUGAGUAACACGUGGAUAACCUACCUAUAAGACUGGGAUAACUUCGGGAAACCGGAGCUAAUACCGGAUAACAUGUUGAACCGCAUGGUUCAACAGUGAAAGAAGGUCUUGCUGUCACUAAUAGAUGGAUCCGCGCCGCAUUAGCUAGUUGGUAAGGUAACGGCUUACCAAGGCAACGAUGCGUAGCCGACCUGAGAGGGUGAUCGGCCACACUGGAACUGAGACACGGUCCAGACUCCUACGGGAGGCAGCAGUAGGGAAUCUUCCGCAAUGGGCGAAAGCCUGACGGAGCACCGCCGCGUGAGUGAUGAAGGUCUUCGGAUCGUAAACCUCUGUUAUUAGGGAAGAACAAAUGUGUAAGUAACUAUGCACGUCUUGACGGUACCUAAUCAGCAAGCCACGGCUAACUACGUG
rnacentral:rRNA from 1 species